rnacentral:lncRNA from 1 species
AGUAACUCUUUAUUUUUAAUAAUAGUUAGGGACUUAAUUGAAAAACUAAAAAAAGCUGGAGGGUUAAAUAGGAAUUUUGCAGGAGGUAAUAGUUAGAAUUUAAAAAGAAUAAGGGUUUAAAUGGUUAUUAAGCAAAAAUUGAGGGACCAUUUUAAGAUAAGAAAAGAAACAAAAGAGAAGGAGAUCGAAGAAGGGAGAAGCUUUUGUCGGCAUCAAUGGCGAAAUGGUGGAGGAGGCUCGACCCAGCGCGGUGGCGAUGACCGAAAUGGUGGAGGAGGCUCGACCCAGCGCGGUGGCGAUGACCGGAGGUAGAGGAGGCGCCGGCGAGUGCAGCAGUAGCUGCGAACGGCGGCAAAAAGUGGAGAAGAAGGCAGUCGCUCUCUGAUGUCGUUCCUAGCAUUUUCGGCAUCCAAUGGCAGUGGUUUCAGUCCUAAAAUGACCAGCGUCUUGUGGACUCUCAAAUAGGGGCAGCAAUGUCCGCAAUGGUGACCGGAGAAGAGAGUUCCGAUGAAGUGAAGGCAGCCGAGUUUUCAGAAUUUUCCGGCCAUCUUCGGCGAGUUAUGGUCGAUCGGAGUUCAUGGAUGAAUUCCCCUCAACUCAAGCUUUCCAAUGGCACUAAUUUUGUAGCGAUCGAACUCCGUUUGAGAUCAACGGUCGAACUGUCUGUGACUUUCUAUGCACAAUCGGGGAUUGGAUUGAAGAAUCAAAUGCUAGAAUUAUCGUUUGUAUGUUAUUUUAAGUACGUAGGCGCGCUCGGUUCGUCGAUCGGACUCCGGCGGCUGAAGGCGAGUCGACCGAUUUAUUAAACGUCUCGGAAAUUCUCUAAUCGUUGAUUUUUAGAGAUUGUUAAUUAAAAAUUAUUUGAUUAAUUAUGGUGUUGUAUACCAGAAAAUUAUGUGUGGAUUGAUUGUCAAAAUAAUAGUGUGUCAGACCGUCUGCCAAUAAUUGGUGGUCUGUGAUGUGUUGUGGAGUCGAAAAAAAAAUAAUGUAGUUUUGGUGGCCCAACUCCCGUUAAUUAAUUGAUUAAUAUUAGAAGUGUUUCUGGCAGGUCCUGGACCCAUUAUACAGGGGGUAAACGUCCGUAUUUUAAGGGAAGGUUCUGCCAAAUUUUUGGUAGAAUUUAUCCGAGUCGAAAUUCUUAGACAGUCAGUUCUAGGAAUCUAGGCCUAGGGUUACUUGUUAAAUAUUUUACUUUUAUUGAUUGAAUUGUUCCCGUGAAUAGAUAAUCCAUCAUUUCAACUCAUUCCACCCGAGGCAUAGGAGUAGAGCAAG